CAGUAGCCGCGGUAAAACGUAGGUGGCAAGCGUUGUCCGGAAUUAUUGGGCGUAAAGGGCUCGCAGGCGGUUUCUCAAGUCUGAUGUGAAAGCCCCCGGCUCAACCGGGGAGGGUCAUUGGAAACUGGGAAACUUGAGUGCAGAAGAGGAGAGUGGAAUUCCACGUGUAGCGGUGAAAUGCGUAGAGAUGUGGAGGAACACCAGUGGCGAAGGCGACUCUCUGUCUGUAACUGACGCUGAGGAGCGAAAGCGUGGGGAGCGAAUGGGAUUAGAUACCCGCGUAGUCCCUGUCUCUUAUACA
rnacentral:rRNA from 1 species